ensembl:lncRNA
AUGAGUAGCUUCCUUGAGACCAGAAGGGCCAGGUUUAAAUCCUGGUCAUGGGAUUUGAACACCUGUUUUCAGCACAAAUCUCAACUUAUUAGCUGUUUUAAGCAGAAACCUGUUUUACGCAGAGAAACUUUUUUAACUCAAUUUCAGCUUUUUCACCCCUUUUCAGCAAAAUUUUCAGUUUCCCAGCUUUUUCAGCUAUUUUCAGCAAAAACAUCUUUUCAGCAGAAUUCUGAAAAGAGUUCUGCAGAACACUUUUCAGCAGAACUUCUGCUGACUGAACUGUUUUCAGCAGAAUUUUCACCUCUUUUCAGCCCAAAUUCUGCUUGUUCACCUCUUCUGCAAAAUUUUCAGCCUUUUCACCUCUUAUUAGCACAAAUCUCAGCUGUUUUCAGGAAAAACUCUUUUAAGCAGAAAUUCUGCUGAUUGAACUCUUUUCAGCAGAAUUUUCACCUCUUUUCAGCCCAAAUUCUGCUUAUUCACCUCUUCUGCAAAAUUUUCAGCCUUUUCACCUCUUAUUAGCACAAAUCUCAGCUGUUUUCAGAAAAAACACUUUUGAGCAAAAAAUUCUGCUGAUUCAUCUCUUUUCAGCGCAACUUUCUGCUUCUUUACCUCUUUUCAGCAGAAAUUCUGCUGAUUCACCUCUUUUCUGCAAAAUUUUCAGCCUUUUCUCCUCUUAUCAGCACAAUUCUCAGCAGCUUCUGCUCAUUUCAGCAGAAUUGUCCGUCUCUCCACCUCUUCUUUGUCAGAAUGAGUUUAGCUCAGUGAGAUGAGUGGCUGCCUCAAGACCUGGAGGACUAGGUUCGAAUCCUGCUCAAGGCACUGUUUUUUUUUUUUUUCACCACCAUACAACUUUUUGCAACUUUUCAUCUUUUUCAGUUUUUGAGCAGACAGCUUCAGCAUUAAGGCAUCCACACAGCAUUUUCGCAGGAAAUGCAAAUUUUUCUAGUUCUUUAUUAUUCUUGGGGUUUCCGUACGUUUUUUGCCGCUUAACUACUGCCUCAGUUUUCAGCCGAUUUUCUCAGUUCAAACUUUAAAAAAUUCUGCUGUUUCUGCUAAUGUGUGCUAUGACUUUUGGUGCUCAUAACUUCUAUACUUUUUGAGAUAUUGAAUUUUUUUUGCAAUAUUUUUUGCCCAUUUUUGCACAUUCUCAGUGGGGUCACUAGCUUUCCUUGCCCGGUUGAGCCGUGUUUUAGCUCAGUGAGAUGAGCAGCCGUUCUCAGACUGGGAGGCCCGGGUUCAAAUCCCGCUUAUGGCAACAUUUCUUUCAGUUAACAGUUAAACUUUUUUAACUCUUUUCAACACAAAUUUCAGCUUUUCCACCCCUUUUCAGCAAAAAAAACUCUUUUCAGCAGAAUUCUGAAAAGAGUUCUGCAGAACUCUUUUCAGCAGAAAUUCUGCUGAUUGAACUCUUUUCAGCAGAAAUUUCAGAAUUUUCACCUCUUUUCAGCCCAAAUUCUGCUUAUUCACCUCUUCUGCAAAAUUUUCAGCCUUUUCACCUCUUAUCAGCACAAAUCUCAGCAGUGAGCAGAAAUUCUGCUGAUUCAUCUCUUUUCAGCGCAACUUAUUGCUUCUUUACCUCUUUUCUGCAGAAAUUCUGCUGAUUCACCUCUUUUCUGCAAAAUUUUCAGCCUUUUCUCCUCUUAUCAGCACAAUUCUCAGCAGCUUCUGCUCAUUUCAGCAGAGUUGUCCGUCUCUCCACCUCUUCUUGGUCACAGUGAGUUUAGCUCAGUGAGAUGAGCAGCUGCCUUCAGACCAGAAGGGCCAGGUUCAAAUCCCGGUCAUGGCAAAACCUGUUUUCAGUUUUCUCUUUUGUUCUACCUCUUUUCCGCAGAAAUUCUGCUGAUUUAUCUCUCUUCUGCAAAAUUUUCAGGCUUUUCGCCUCUUCUCAGCACAAAAAAUGAGCAGCUUCUGCUCAUUUUAGCAGAAUUGUCCGUCUCUCCUCCUCUUUUUUGAGAAAAUGAGUUUAGCUCAGUAAGAUGAGUAGCUACCUUGAGUCCAGGAGGACCAGGUUCGAAUCCUGCUCAGGGUAACAUUUUUUUUUCACCACCAUACAACUUUUUGCAACUUUUCAUCUUUUUCAGCUUUUCAGCAGACAGCUUCAGUGUUAAGGCAGCCACACAGCAUUUUAGGAGGAAAUGCAAAUUUUUCUAGUUCUUUAUUAUUCUUGGGGAUUCCGUACGUUUUUUGCCGCUUAUCUACUCCCUCAGUUUUCAGCCGAUUUUCUCAGUUCAAACUUUAAAAAAUUCUGCUCUUUCUGCUAAUGUUUGCUAUGACUUUUGGUGCUCAUAACUUCUAUACUUUUUGAGAUAUUGAAUUUUUUUUGCAAUAUUUUUUGCCCAUUUUUGCCCAUUAUCAGUGGCCUCACUAGUUUUCCUUGCCUGGUUGAGCCGUGUUUUAGCUCAGUGAGAUGAGCAGCCGUUCUCAGACUGGGAGGCCCGGGUUCAAAUCCCGCUUAUGGCAACAUUUCUUUCAGUUAACAGUUAAACUUUUUUAACUCUUUUCAACACAAAUUUCAGCUUUUCCACCCCUUUUCAGCAAAAUUUUCAUUUUUUUCUGCUGUUUUCAGAAAAAAAAAGUCUUUUCAGCAGAAAUUCUGCUCAUUCACCUCUUUUCAGCGCAAUGUUCUGCUUCUUUCCAUCUUUUCUGCAGAAAUUCUGCUCAUUCAACUCUUUUCAGCAGAAUAUUCAGAAUUUUCACCUCUUUUCAGCCCAAAUUCUGCUUAUUCACCUCUUCUGCAAAAUUCUCAGCCUUUUCACCUCUUAUCAGCACAAAUCUCAACUUUUUUCAGAAAAAAACUCUUUUCAGCAGAAAUUCUGCUGAUUCACCUCUUUUCAGCGCAACGUUCUGCUUCUUUCCCUCUUUUCUGCAGAAAUUCUGCUGAUUCACCUCUUUUCUGCAAAAUUUUCAGCCUUUUCACCUCUCAUCAGCACAAUUCUCAGCAGCUUCUGCUAAUUUCAACAAAAUUGUCAGUCUGUCCACCUCUUCUUUGCGGGAAUGAGUUUGGCUCAGUGAGAUGAGUGUCUGCCUUCAGCCCAGGAGGGCCGGGUUCAAAUCCAGCUUAGGGCGACAUUUUUUUUUUUCACCACCACACAACUUUUUGCAACUUUUCAUCUUUUUCAGCUUUUCAGCAGACAGCUUCAGCAUUAAGGCAUCCACACAGCAUUUUCGCAGGAAAUGCAAAUUUUUCUAGUUCUUUAUCUUUAUUCUUCUAGUUGCUCCGUUUUUUGGCACUUAACUACUGCCUCAGUUUUCAGCCGAUUUUCUCCGUUCAAACUCUAAACUGUUCUGCUCUUUCUGCUAAUGACUGCUAUGACUUUUGGUCUUUAUUAAUGUUAUACUUUUUAAAAUAUUACACUUUUUUCCUUUAAUUUGUCCCAUUGAAAUGAAUGGGAAACUUCCACAAUUCUGUGCAAUUAACUCAGAGUGAGCACUGGUCCUUUCUGAAACUUCUCUUCAUGUCCGAACAACUUCUUGCUGCUCACUCAAUUUUCACUCAACCCCCAUAAACUAUACAUCAAAACGUAGGUAUUUUUGCUGGCUUUCAGACAAUGUUACUAUCUUUAUUGUGAGAUUUACCGUUUUUUUGCAAUUUGCCUCGAAGUGACACAUGGUCUGGAUACUCCCCAUUCAAAGUCUAUGGGGAGGUUUUGAAAUGCAGAGCUGAAAUUCUGUAACGGGAGGCAUUUUCAAAUCGCCAUAUCUCCUUAACAAAGCAAAGUUAGGACAUGAGGCUUGUGCCAAUAUAUCUUCAGACACUGCUGACACUCACAGUGGAAGCAGUUUUUACAAUUAUCUUACCGUUGAGCAAUGAAUUACGUUUGUUUGAGGGGUGGAAAUCUGUCCUCCUCUCAGUUUUCAAACUCCGAAAAUGAAGCCGUUUCUUCUCUCGUCAUAUCUCCGCGACGGAGGUACAUAGAGCAAUGAAAAUCACAGUCAAAGUACACCAAAGUCCGCUGAUUCACCCAGUCCAAGAAUUAUGCCGCUAGCCCUCCUAGUUUUUGAGUUACACGACGUUUUGUAACACCAAAAAACGGCGUUUUUCGCCUCUCACCGCGAUCUAAUUCUGACUGCUGAAGUCUCUGUCUUUCAGACCCCCGCCCCCUUUCCAGGUGGCGCAAUCAGUAAUGACACGGCUCUGCAGCUCAAAGGUCGUGAGGUCAAUCCCACCUUGUUCAACAUUUUUUUUUUUCACUACAAAUUGAUACACUAUCACAGACCUGUAAUUUAUAUUGCUAAUUUAUUACAAUUCUGCAAAGUUUUAUGAUUUUAGCAGCUUUUCUAAUAUG